rnacentral:lncRNA from 1 species
ACGCAACACAGAAACGGACCAAGCAAUAGACAAAACACCACGAGAAUAACAAAUAUAACAUCAAAACCAAAUACAUGAAUUUGGGAUAGACAAGUACCGUGCCACGUCUUAUCUAAAAAAUAAGAGAAAACACAAACGACUCAACGUUAAAAUGCAACACACACACAGAAACGAACAAUAUUAUAACAAUGGCCAUCUUCCUGACUUGGUACAGGACACUUUUAAAGGGGAAUAAAAGUGGUGGGUUGAACCUGGUUUUAUGGCAUGCCAAACCUCGCACUUUAAUGGCAAAGUUAAAUAUAACAUUGAAAUGACAACAUAAUAUUACAGGACUGCAAUACAAAUAAAAAGGAGACCAUAUUAGACAAAGAAAAGCAUGAUUAAUAGAUAACAAAAAGCAUCAGGUUUAAAAUUCAAUACGCCAAAAACGCGUCUAGUCCACACAAGACUCAAUAGUGACGCCCAGAUAUAAAAGAUCGAAAGUGAAAAAAGUACAAAGUUGUACAGCACUGAAGAUCAAAAGUUGAAAAGGUUUUGCCAAAUACGGCAUUGUUUGUAUGCCCGGGAUAAGAACAUUCUUAUUAUAUAGAACAAUUCAUGCUAUUGCAAACAGUAAAUUUU